rnacentral:rRNA from 1 species
AUUGAACGCUGGCGGCAGGCCUAACACCUGCAAGUCGAACGAGUGGCGGACGGGUGAGUAAUGUCUGGGAAUCUGCCCGAUGGAGGGGGAUAACUACUGGAAACGGUAGCUAAUACCGCAUACCAUCGGAUGUGCCCAGAUGGGCUUAGCUAGUAGGUGGGGUAACGGCUCACCUAGGCGACGAUCCCUCGCUGGUCUGAGAGGAUGACAAGCCACACGGGAAGUGAGACACGGUCAAGAGUCCUACGGGAGGAAGCAGUGGGGAAUAGUGAACAAUGGGCGCAAGCCUGAUGCAGCCAGGGCGCGUGUAUGAAGAAGGCCUUAGGGUUGUAAAGUACUUUCAGCGAGGAGGCGUUACUCGCAGAAGAAGCACCGGCUAACUCCGUGCCAGCAGCCGCGGUAAUAC